rnacentral:rRNA from 1 species
UGGGGAAUAUUGGACAAUGGGCGAAAGCCUGAUCCAGCCAUGCCGCGUGAGUGACGAAGGCCUUAGGGUUGUAAAACUCUUUCGUCGGGGACGAUAAUGACGGUACCCGAAGAAUAAGCACCGGCUAACUACGUGCCAGCAGCCGCGGUAAUACGUAGGGUGCAAGCGUUAAUCGGAAUUACUGGGCGUAAAGCGUGCGCAGGCGGUUAUAUAAGACAGAUGUGAAAUCCCCGGGCUCAACCUGGGAACUGCAUUUGUGACUGUAUAGCUAGAGUACGGUAGAGGGGGGAUGGAAUUCUUGGUGUAGCGGUGAAAUGCGUAGAUAUCAAGAGGAACACCUGAGGUGAAGACGGGUUGCUGGGCUGACACUGACGCUGAGGCGCGAAAGCCAGGGGAGCAAACGGGAUUAGAUACCCCUGUAGUCCCUGAGCGGGCUGGCAAGGCGCAU